rnacentral:rRNA from 1 species
GAGUUUGAUCGUGGCUCAGAUUGAACGCUGGCGGCAUGCCUUACACAUGCAAGUCGAACGGCAGCAUGAUCUAGCUUGCUAGAUUGAUGGCGAGUGGCGAACGGGUGAGUAAUACAUCGGAACGUGCCCUGUAGUGGGGGAGUAACUAGUCGAAAGAUUAGCUAAUACCGCAUACGACCUGAGGGUGAAAGUGGGGGACCGCAAGGCCUCAUGCUAUAGGAGCGGCCGAUGUCUGAUUAGCUAGUUGGUGGGGUAAAGGCCCACCCAAGGCGACGAUCAGUAGCUGGUCUGAGAGGACGAUCAGCCACACUGGGACUGAGACAC